GCCAGAUGUGAUAACAUGUGCUUGUAAUCCCAGCUAUUCAGGAGGCUGAGGCAGGAGGAUCGCUUGAGCCCUGGAGUUCUGGGCUGUAGUACACUAUGUGGAUCGGCUGUCCACACUCAGUUUGGCAUCAAUAUGAUGACCUCCUGGGAGCAAGGGACCACCAGGUUGCCUAAAGAUGGGUGAACUGGUCUGGGUCGAAAAUGGAGCAGGUCAAAACUUCUAUGCUGAUCAGUAACAGGAUUGUGCCUGUGAAUAACCACUGCACUCAAGCCUGGGCAACAUAGCGAGACUCUGGUCUCCU
rnacentral:SRP_RNA from 2 species